GUCUACAGCCAUACCACCCUGAACACGCACUAUCUCGUCUGAUCUCGGAAGCUAAGCAGGGUUGGGCCUGGUUAGUACUUGGAUGGGAGA
rnacentral:rRNA from 1 species